UGCACAUGACUGAAUGUGCUUCUGUCCAUCAUCUGGGUCAUAUAUAGUUCAAUGCGAGCUGAGCAGACAGGGCUGCAAGGAAAUCUGGCGCGGUUCAAUACCUCAUCUAGUCUGGGUUCCAGUAUAUAAUUUUUUUUUUACUGACAAACUCAUUUCUCUACCGGGACAGGAUGCUGUGCUGGCUGGGAGUUCCAUUUCUACAGCAAGAAUCCUAUCUGGAAACAGAGAAGUUGUCCUCUAAGCCACAGCAGCUCGAACUUUUUUGAUUGUUGUUGCUGCUUUCUCCCAUCACCCCCACCCCCUUUUGACAAAGAUCCAACUGUAAAAAGUCUUACGUAACAGUUCAGGACUACUUCGGUUCUUUUACUGGUAUAUCAAGAGGCCUCAAGAGGACUAUGAAAACAUUUACAUCUCCAACUCAGAGCAAUGUGGGUUUCACAAUAUUUCGUAGUACCUCUGGAAAAGGAAAGAAAGGAGUACAGUGGGUCCUCCGUAUCCAAGAUGUGGAGGACCAAAGAUACUGCACCAUUUUAUAUAAGGGACUUGAGCAUCCUCGGAUUCUGGUGUCCAAGGAGGAUCCUGGAAUCAAUUCCUGUGGAUACCAAGGGACGACUGUAAAUAGCUGAGGCAAAACAGUACAGUAAAAAAGAAAUAAAUGGUUUGGGAUAGUAUGGAGUUAGAAAACCUGAAUUUAAUUCCAAUUUCUGCCAUGGUUAUGUGUUCUUGGACAAGUGAGUCACCUCUUAAGCCUUAAUUCUCCAUGAAAGAGAGACUAAGUAUACCUCCCCUAUCUUCACAGGAUUGUUGUGAGGCCUCAGAGAGAGCACAGUGAAAAAAUGUGCUGCAAACAGCACACAGCAGUACAGCCCAAUGCAUCCUGGCCUUUGACGGUACUACUCCAUGGCUUAUCCUCACUUUUAGUAGAUAAGAUUCCCUCACUCCCCAAACUCUCACCUACUUGUCAACCAGAAGCACGUAUCUGCAAGAUGUCUAGCUGAGGUUAUUAAUCUAUAACCUGGGGCUGAAUGCAGGCAUUUUUCUGUGUAUACGUGUCACCAGCAUAGACAGUCCAUCAGAGCCACAAUCUAUUUAUUUAGGUCUUUGUAAACUUCUCUCAGAAAUAUUUUAGUUUUUAGUGUACAAAUCUUACACUUCUUUUGUUAAAUUUAUUCCUAAGUAUUUUAUUAUUUUGAUGCAAUCGUGAAUGGAAUUGUUGGACCAUUUUUGGACCAUUACUAGCUAUAAAAAUACAGCUGAUUUUUGUAUAUUGAUCUGGUAUCCUGUGACCUUGCUAAACUCAAUUAGUUCUACUUGUUUUGUGGGGUUUUUGUGAAUUAUUUAGGAUUAUAUAUAGGAUUAUGUCACCUAUGAAUAAAAACAGUUUUAAGACAUCCAAUUUAGAUGCCUUCCCCACUAACCCUCACAUUACUGUACUAGCUAGAACCUCCAGUGAAUGUUGAAAAGAAGCAAUAAGAGCACAUUCUUACCUACCUUAUUCCCAAUCUUAGGGGAAAGGUACUUAUAUUUACCCAAUUAAGUAUUAUGUUAGCUUUAGGCUCUUCAUGGAUGUUCCUCGGUCAAAUUGCGGAAGUUGCCUUCUAUUCCUAGUUUGUUGGGAGAUUUUGAUCAUGAAUGGGUAUUGAAUUUUGUCAAAUGUUUUUCCUGUGUCUACUCAGAUGAUCAUGUGGGGCUUUUUAACCUUUAUCUUAUUAGACUUAUUUUAUGGCCCAGAAUACUCUUAGAGACUGUUCUAUGUGUACUUGAAAAGGAUGUUUAUUCUGCAUGGAGUAUUCAAUAAACAUGAGCUAUGGUAAGUUGGUUGAUUACUUCUCAAUUUGUUAUAAGCGUAUGGUUGUUGUUGAUAGUUUUAUUCAGCUUUACAGUUGCUUUCUGGGGACAGGCUGUGUUGACCUUCUGACUCACUCAUGCCAGAAAUGAAUCUCCUCCUCAGGUAUGUUUUUACAAACCUCAUAAGUGAUAAAAUCCUAAUCUUGGUGAAACCAAACAGCUAGUCUGAAUUCCAGUCUAUUUUCCUGAAAUUAGACCCAAGUACCAUAACAAACUGCUCAAAUACAACUCAAUCCCAAAAUACACUUAGGAGGAAAAACUUCCUGAGGAAGGCAGAGGAAUAAAUUCACUCUGGAAUAUUGGAAUGAUUUUCAAAUCCCAAAGGCAACAAUACAAAAACUUGAGUAUCAAAGAUUUAUCUUCAGUUUCCACUACCAAAAGCCCUAACUGUUGGAGUCACUAGUACCUUCUAUGUGUGUAUACAAUCUGAACCAGCCCCAGAGUCAAUCAUGGCUAGGGCGAGAG